UUUCCAAUAUAAUAAACACUAAAAUCUCCAAAACACCGAGAAAAUCUAUCCAUCCCCAAUUUUUUCGAUUUCCCCAAAUUCUUCCUCUCUGCAGCUCCAAAAACCCUAACUCCAUCCUUCAAUGGCGAAGAAACGAAGAGUUGAAGAUGAAGAAGACACAGACCCAGAAAUGGAUUCAUCAUCAGAAGAAGUAGAAGAAAUAGAAGAGGAGGAGGAAGACGACGAGGAAGAAACAGAUAAAUCAGUCGAACCAGAAGCUGAAGAACCAGCAGCAGCAGAAGAAGAUUUAACAAAGAUUCUUGAAAUAUUCAGUAAAGAACAAUUAAUUGAUAUUAUUCGUUCAGCAUCAACAGAGAAUAAAAAACUCGUUGAAGAUAUUCAUAAAUUAGCAGAUCAAGAUCCAUCUCAUCGGAAAUUGUUUGUUCAUGGAUUAGGUUGGGAAACAACAUCAGAUAAACUCAGAGAAAUUUUCUCUACUUACGGUGAGCUUGAAGAUUGUAAUGUUGUUGUUGAUAAAAAUACAGGUAAAUCAAAAGGGUAUGGUUUCAUAUUAUAUAAACAUAGAAAAUCUGCUUUAAAAGCUUUGCAAGAGCCACAGAAGAAGAUUGAGAAUCGGAUGACUGCUUGUCAGUUAGCUUCUUCUGGACCUGUUAAUAUUCCUUCUCAACAACAGCACCAUCAGCAGCCGCAGCAGCACCAAUAUCAACAGAUGAAUCAUCAUGUGAAGAAGAAUGGUAAUUCUUCUGCGGCGGGGAUGUCGCCGGAGAUGUUGCAGAGGAAAAUCUAUGUAGGUAAUGUACAAUCUGAGAUUUCUGGUGAGAAAUUACAUUCUUUUUUCUCAAAGUAUGGUGAAAUUGAAGAAGGUCCAUUAGGGUUUGAUAAAAACACUGGGAAACCUAAAGGGUAUGCUUUGUUUAUAUAUAAAACUCUUGAAGGUGCAAGAAAGGCUUUAGAGGAACCUAGCAAGAAUUUUGAAGGGCAUGUGUUGUUUUGUCAGAAAGCUACUGAUAACAACAAGCAGAAAUCAGGUUCUGGUUCUGCACCUUUACCUACUGGGAGUUUGCCUAUGAAUAAUGAUGGGUUUAAUCAUGCUGGUAAUCCUGGAGUUGGUGGGUUUAAUCCUCCACAGCCUGGUGUUGGUCCUGGUUUUAAUCCUCAGAAUGGUGUUAUGGGUCAUCAUGGGCUUAUGAUGAAUCAGGGACUUAUGGGUGGUGUUCCGCCGUAUGGUCAAGGGAUGCAACCGAUUCAAGCUGCAUUAGCUGUACUUGCUGCUGCAGGGCAGAAUCCAGGUGCUUUUGGAGUGAUGAACCCUGCUUUAGCAGGUUUUAAUCCAAUGGCACCUAUGCAACCAGGAUUGGGAGCUUUUGGAAUGGGUAACCCAAUGUAUCAGAAUCCACAAGGUCAUCAACUAAUUGGACCCCCUGGGCAAGGUCCUGCUAAGAGACCCGCUUUAGGGCCACCGGGAGGAUAUGGAGCUCGUUGAGUUUGUCCCGAUUUCCUGGUACUCCAGGCAUGAUAUAGUCUGCUCCACUAUAUCCUCUCCUGUUGAAUGUGAAAAGCCAAAUCACGCUUCUUCAUGAGCAAGAAAGUAACAAAUCAUUCUUUUCAGGGCCAUGAAAAGAACUAGGCUUUCGUAAGCCUAACAUGGAGAGUCUAGGACUACGGGAUCAUUGCUAUUUUAUUAAGUAUGUUUCUAGAAACAAACCUAGUUAUGGAGGCCCUCUGAUAUUUUCACCCUGAUAUUGAGAAGCAGAUAAACUACGUUAUUUCCGGUAACAAAAGUAUGACGCAGAAAUUACAGAUGAUGGAAGGCUAACUGCUACUUAACAACAGAAAAGCAGUCUCCAGCCCCAUGUACCGAAGUUGGCUUAAGCUUGUUUUUUAUUGUUGCCAUUGUCAUUUAUUUUGUACUCAACUUUUCAUAUUAAUUUUCUACAAAUUUUGAAUACGUUGCAAAUUGAUAUGUAUGCCCAGUUCACUAAUUUCGGAUCUCUAAACUGGUAAAUGUUAAAUCCAGUAAAAAUGACCUUACAGU